UUUUUUUUUUUUUGUUUUUUUUUUUUUUUUUUUUUUUUUUUUGGUGUGCAAAAUAUAGCAGAUGAUUUAUUUGCUAUUAUCACAAAAAGUUUUGGCCAAUUUCAGACAAAGCAAGGGACUAUAUUCUUCCAUGGUUUUGACCCCUGAAACAUAUAUUCCAGUGCCAAGUUUACUAAUUGUGCACCUAGUACAAAUAUCGGAAAGCUCAGCCAAAACAACAGGAUUCUAAAGUAAAUGUAUGCAUAGAGAAAAUAUAAGGGCGUGUUUUGCUUUUCCUUAUUUGUGUUAGUUACUUUUUCCUACUAAGAAUUUUAUUAUGAAGCUGCUUGGAGUGUAUAGUAAUAGAAAUGAUACAUAAAUAGUGAUAAUUUGGAUGAUAAUUGAACCAAAGAAACUGUUUAAAGCCAUGCUGACUUUUGCAGAAUAUUUUAGCAUGCAAUACCAUACUUAUCUCAUCUACAUUGCCAUAGAAUACAAGCUACAGGAAACAGAGAGGAGGCUUCUGGAGGUAAUUUUAGAGAUAGUAUCUUAGAAACAUGUUUAAAUGAUUGUGCUAUGCAAACAACUGAAAUUCCACUUUUAAGUUUUCAGGGAAGAAAGCAGUUCUACACCCCCAAAUUGUCAACAUUUCUUAAAAACAGCACUUUCAAACAAAUUGUAUGUAAAAAAGUUAAACCCCACAGUCUUAAAAUUUACUGACCAAUAUAUUUAUUUUUUAUUUUUGUUUAUUUUUUGCUUUUUAGGGCUACCCCUAGCCUGGGAACCUCCAUAUGCUGCGGGACCAGCCCUGGAAAAGGCAAAAAGACAAAAAAAAAAAAAAAAUCAGUUGUAUUUCUAUAUACCAACAAUGAACUAUCUGAAAAGGAUAUUAGGAAAAUAGUUUCAUUUAUAAUAGCAUCAAAAAGAAUAAAAUACUUAGGCAUAAACUGAGGAGAUUAAAGAACACUAAAAUCUACAAAACUUUGAUAAAAAUAAAUUAAGUAAUGGAGUCAUGAACAAAUGGGAAAAUGUCCAGUGUUAAUAGAUUAAAAGAUUUAAUAUUGUUAAAAUGGCCAACUACUCAAAGCAAUCUACAGAUUCAAUGCAAUCCCAAGCAAAAUCCUAAUGGCAUUUUUUUAUAUAAAUUUAAAAAACAAUUCUAAAAUUCAUAUGGAUCCUUAAAGGACCUUGAAGAGCCAAAACAAUUUUGAAGAAGAUUAACAAAGCUGGAGGCGUCACUUAUCCUGACUUCAAAGUAUAUUACACAGCUACAGUAUGGGUACUGGCAUAAAGACCAACAUAUCAACCAAAGGAGCAGAAUGGAGAGCUCAGAAAUGAAUCCACGUAUCUACAGUCAACUGAUCUUCCACAAGGGUACUAAGAAUACAUAAUGGGAUGGGAUAGUCUCUUUGAUAAUUGUGUUAGGAAAACUGGAUAUUCAUAUACACAAGAAGGAAACUGUACCCUUGUCUUACACCAUGACAACAAAACAAAACAAAACAACAACAACCACCUCAAAAUGGGUUAAAAACCUAAAUGUAAGACGGUAAAACUCCUAGAAGAAAACAUAAAGCAAAACUUCAUGAUGUUGGUCUUGGCAAUGAUUUCAUUUCCAUGCCACAAAAAGCAUAGGCAACCAAAGCAAAAACAGACAAGUGGGACUCUGUAUAUUCUGGACAUAUGUAUUCUUCAAAGUGUAGUUUAAUGUGUUAAGUGUCGUUAUUGAGCAUUAAUGCUGUAUUCAUGCCUGACGUUUUGGCAAGUAUGUAAAAUAAUAUAAAAUCAAAUUAUGUUCUCAAAUAUUUUAAAAGUGCAUGACCUAUAUUGCAAUGAUUAAUAAGUCUUUGUAUAUACCCUGUAAUCAAAUAAGAUAGCUGCCUUCUUUUAUUAACUUAAAGUAAUUAACUUCAAAUAUAAGAUGUAUAUUAUGAGAUAUUAAUAAUUAGCAGGGCCUAUUUAUAACCACUACAUCACUUUUCCUAUUACUAUAAUUCAAAUAUUUUCCCACAAUCUAUAUUCAGCACAUGUAGAGCAUUUAGACAUGUGCAAAUAUAAAUUAUACAAUGUCAUUAUAUAUUUGGAAAGAAAUACACAUUUCUUGAGAAUUUCAAGCAUAACUUCACCAAAUUAAAAACAAUUACGAAUGCACUGGUUUGUGAAAAUGAGGUUCAUAUUUUCAUUUAUUACAGAAUUAAGAAACCCUGGUAAAAGUAUAGUAUUAUGGGAGUAGGGUCUCUAGGCCAGAAAAUCUUCAGAAGAUGAUGGUCAUGACUAUAUAAUUUAUAAUUUAGUCAUGGCUAAAUAUUUUAUGACACAAGCUCCUUCAAAGAUAUUUGAUCUAGAUGCUCUCUGUCACUUAAUUUGGAAUUGAAAUUUAAGUUUAAUAUGUAAGAUUAACUCUUAAUCCUAAAAACAUAUGAGGCUUUUGGUUUAUUCAGAAGAGCUUUAAGAAACUGAUGGAGCAGUUCUAGGAACAGGAGUGGACUAUGGAGAACUUUAUUCCUCUCCAUACUCCAUGCUUUCAUCUUCAAGUUCAGGGUUGCUUAUCAUGUUUCCUGCCCUACAUCAUUUUAUGUGUUGAAAUAGUCACAGAAGCAAAGUGGAAUCUCAGAUAUGCUCAUGUGCUAUUAGUAUUUCUAGGGGCAUUCUUUCACUCAUUCAGCAAAGACUUUAGGGGGAGCCACUUCCUGUUCUGGGGACUUAGAAUCUAGGAAUUUGAAUCAGAUACAUAUAACGUUCAUGCCCUUAUAUAGCUCAGGCUUUCAUGUGGACAAUAAACAAUAAGCAUAUAGUAGUAACUCUUCUGGAAAAAAAAUGAAGUAGUGUAAAGAGAUAAAGAACACAAAUUAGGGAGGACUACAUGGCAUUUGAUGAAAAAAAAUGACUAAAAUAAGAAACAAACAAACAAACAAAAAAAAAAA
rnacentral:lncRNA from 1 species